UUGUACAUGCCCGAAGGGGUCUCUCCCUUUCUUCGAUCCAUGCCGGGAUCCUCCGCCGUGUGGCUGCACACGUGCGCAGCCUUCCUCCACCACCCGGCCGACCAGGCCCAUCGCGGCGGCCAGCCCGGGUUGCUCCCCGCCGUGGCAUGGAGGCGUGGCGGCGCGACGGCCCCGAGGGCGAGCCUAGUGGUGGAGCGGACGACGAUGGAGGAGGCAGUGUACGAGAUUAUAAAAAUUCAUGGGGAAGAGAGGCAAGAUCAGAGAAAGAAGAACUAUAAUCAAUAUUUAAAGUUCUCAGGUGCAGGUAACAAACCAAACAACAUCUCCAGUAAAGUUGCCAGUAGAAAUAGACCAAAUCCUCCGGCCACCUAAAUUUCUCAAGCAUGUAUCUCAGGGUAGUAACCAAAGAGCCCCGAAAUCCUUGGUAAGCUGACGGUGAACGACACCUAUUCGAUGAAAUAACUAUCUGUAGAAAAAGAGACACACAAUUAUUUUCUUAUUUGAGAGUUCAUUUUCAUUUCUCCCUAUUCAUGCCCAAGUUAUUGUUGUGUUGACGCAUGAGAAUAGAAGAGUGGGGGCGAUGGCCACAGAAACUAUGCAACUACGAGUCCAAGUAAAUAUUCACUCGUGGAGGGUUCAGAAAGCGAGUCUUCUUAUUUACUUCCAUACUUCUUCUAAAAUCAAAUGGAAUAGAUCUUAGACUACAAGCACAUUUAAUCACUAUUGUGUUGUCUCUAUAUCUUUGUUUGAUAGGAACUUAUGUGAAGGCCUUUUCUCCUGAGAUGGCGUGAUGAUAAAGAAUGUGUAAAAGCUGAUGGUGCAGCUGAAGGUGUAAUGGUUAACGAUCAGGCAGAAGGUGUGAUGGUUGAUAACAAAGGUGCAGAUGAAGGUUAUGCUAUAUAGGUUUGGGCUGACUAUUUUAAAUGGUUGCCAAUCAGGUUAGGUAGGAAAAUGGAGGAUUGUCUAAGUGAAGAUACAUCCCCUCAGCUAUUAUGCUCUUUCGAGUACUAUAAACGCAGUUCAAAAUCAGUUGAACCAAAUCCAAACGAAUUGGCCAAAACGAAUGGGAAGGGAUAAUAUAUGCAUAGUUCUUGAAUCAUGGCACCUGAGCUAUUUACAGGAGGAGGGGACCCGACCUUCUUCAUGUCUAGCGGUAGUGUCUUCCUUUGAUUCGUUUGUGCAACAUGGAGGGGACAUGCCCUUCUUCACGUCUCGUGCAACAAUCUGGUGGGCGUCGUGCUCUUCAACCACUUAGAGAUGGACUUUGAUGUGAAGCCCGAUGACCACGCCACAUGGAUGAUCGUCCAUGUGAUCGCGACGCCGGAUGUCGCCGAGGUGGAGGACCUCGAUGCCAUCUUUCGGGGUGAGGGAGGAUUCGGGUCAUCCAGCGUCUGAACUCCAAGCCUUGAUAGAUACAUGUAGAGAAGUGGUCUGUUUAGACUGGUAGUGGAACACUAGGGAAGGUACCCACCUUUAGUUGUGUGUGUUUAAUUUAUUUUGCACUGGACGUGUCCCUGAUUUCUAUCUCUGAAUAAUGCAUGUAAUUUUUAUUUUUUUAA